rnacentral:lncRNA from 1 species
UUUCAAAUUGCUAGAAAACAAGAAAAAUAUGUACAAUCAACAUUUGAUUAUUCAAUCAUGCAAAUCAAUUCCUAACAAACACAAGGUAGGCUCUGAUACCACUGUUGGGAAUCUACUUAUACAUGCACAGCGGAAUUUAAAAUAUAUUUCGAUUCCCAUCCAAUAGAUCUCAUUGUGUUUGGUUAGGAAUUGUGAUAAGAUUGUACCUUUUCCAGAUCUGCAAUCCUUUUGCUUUUCUUUUCGUUCCACAACUUUGAUUCGCCACCACAGCUGUCC